UGCAACGUUUUAGACGGCGUCGGUUAUCAACAAUUAUCUAAAUUAUUUUGAAAAAAAAACAUUCCGACUAGACAGAAGUGCAAGUUAAUGCGGAUUUUUUUUCUACUCAGCUGAGUGUUUCUUUUGGAUUAAAUAUACCGAAAAAUUAUGUCUGAAAAGUUUAAAGGAUUGUUUGAACUUAGCCGCAGACAAAAAAGGAGAAGAUUAAAUACAAUUAUUGAGAAUAAACUCAACAUCGAUGAACGUGCAUUGCAGGAUGAAGAGCAAAUUAUAGCAAAUGAUGAUAAUGGUUUUCAUGGUGGUGGACAAGGUGUUGCAGAUCAACGCGAUGUUGAUGAUGUUGAUGAUGACGAUGGUGAUGAUGUCGAUGGGGGUGACGAUGUCGAUGGGGGUGACGAUGAUGAUAGUGGUGAUGAUAGUGUUGAUAACGCUGGUGAUGACGAUGAUGAUAGUGGUGAUAAAAGUGUUGUUAACGAUGGUGAUGAUUAUGAUGACAAUAACGAUGCUGAAGUUGGUGGCGAUAGUGUUGAUAAUAUUAAUGAAUUAAAUGCUUCAGAAGAUGAAAAUGAAGGAAAUAAUUAUCAGGAUAAUGCUGUUAAUCUACAAAGAAGAGCUUUAAAAAAUGCCUUUUUAUCAGCAAACUUAAAGCACAGCCAAGGAAAUAUAUUACUCACUACAUUGCACCAAUUCCCUUUCAACUUAAUUGAACUACCGCAAGACUCGAGGACACUUUUAAACACGACGACUGUUGUUGCCAGUACAAGAAUCCAAAAUAUAUGUGGAGGUCAAUAUUUGCAUAUUGGAUUCAAAAAGACUUUGAUAAAAAAAUUAGAAAGUAUUCCUGUUAAUUUGUGGCCGGAGUUUUUAGAAAUUGAUUUUAGCACGGAUGGUGCUAAAGUAGACAAAGGCCCACAACAAUUUUGGCCUCAUCAGUACAGAAUAUUUAAUAUCGCUGAUAAACGACCAAUACUAGCAGGGAUUUUUCAAGGACAACAUAAACCAACUAAUCCUUUUGAUUUUUACGACGAAUUGAUCCAAGAAAUUUCGGAAAUACGGCGUGAAGGUGGCAUACUAAUAAGGAAUCGACGUUUACCUUUAACAUUACGAUGUUUUAUUGCCGAUGCACCGGCAAGAGCUUUUGUCUUAAACCAUUAUGGACAUAAUUCUGCUGAUCCCUGUUCUAAGUGCAAAGUAGAAGGUCGUCGAUGUUUAAAUGAUGGUUUUCAAGGAACAAUGGUUUUUCCAGGCAAUGAGCACGCAGGUCGAACAGAUGAUGAUUAUAGGAAUGUUACUGAUGAAGAUCAUCAAAAAGGCAGAUCUCCUUUGGCUGAUGUUUUGCCUAUAGUAACUCGAGUUCCAUUUGAAAUAAUGCAUUGUGUUUAUCUUGGAAAUGUUAAGAAAUUGUUAUCAGCACAAAUUGAAGGAAAAUUUGGAUUCUGCAGACUAUUAAGAAGGAAAAGGGAUGUACUUGAUGCAAGAAUGGAAGAACUUAAAUUAUAUUGUCCAUCAGACUUUAAUCGGCAACCACAAAAAUUAACCAACUUCAGUAAUUUCAAAGCUACAGAAUUGCGACAAUUUAUACUUUAUACUGCUCCUGCAGUUGUAAAAGAUAUCUUCGGUGAAGAAUACUACCAGCAUUUAAUGAUUUUGCAUGCAAUUAUGCGUCUCUUGGAAUCUGAAGAAACUCUACAAGACAUGUUUCCUUUUUGCAGAGAAGGUUUAAAACAAUAUGUGAGUUUGUGUGAGUUGUUGUAUGGUGAACAAUUCCUUUCAUAUAACAUUCAUUGUUUGCUUCAUCUGGUAGACGAUCGUGAAGUUCUCGGCCCUUCAGAAACACAUAGCGCAUUUUGUUAUGAAAAUAAUUUGCAAGAACUGCGCAAAUAUAUACGGAAACCAGACUUAAAACUACCUCAAAUUUACAAGAGAAUUUCGGAAAGAGAAGAUUAUGCCCUAACACCUCUUGACCAUAAUAUACGAAUUCAAUUAUCACUCAGACAUAACGAUGGUCCUCUACCAGAAGACAUUAAUGCAAACCAUUGCCAACAAUUUAAUAAAGUAGAAAUUGGAAAAUGUGUACUUUCUACAGCACUACGCAACAGCUGUUGUUUUUUACAAAAUAAGAAAAUAUGCAUUAUAAGAAACAUUAUUCAACAAGAAAAUCAAAUUCGAUUAAUUGUCCAACAAUUUCAAUCAACUGGCGAGCUUUAUGAAGCAGGAAUAUCCUCUGUCUCUGUAGAUAUCUAUCAUUGUACAAAUUUACAAGAUAGUUUGACAACAAUUCAAUUAAGAGACAUUAAAUGUAAAAUGUAUAUCAUGCCAAAAUGGAGUAACGUAAAAGAUCAAGAAGAUAUCGUUGUUCAAAAUGAAUGGAUAUGUGCAUCAUUAUUAUCACCGUUUCAUUUACCUGACAAUAUAAAUAUACUAUAAAGCCCCUCAAAACAACUUGUCGAAUUCUUUAGAAGGAACAUGCAAUUUAUGCAACAAGAUAAUGGAUAGAUUACUGCAAAGGCGAAGCGAAAAGCAUCCUCCCAAAAAUUCUAGUAGUGGAAGAAGUAUAAAUGUCCCUUUAAGACUUGUAUCGUCGUCAGAUGAGGGGCCUCCAAAAAA